rnacentral:misc_RNA from 1 species
AUCAAUUAGUGUUCUCUUGAAUGGAUGGCGGAGGAGGAGAGAUUUUAACUCUCGAGGAGCUAUUAACCCCUACUGGUUUUCAAGUUUGACAAGAAUUAGAUAAAGGCUCGUUAUCUUAACGGAUAACGAGCCUUUAUCUUUAGUU